rnacentral:rRNA from 1 species
GACACGCUGGCGGCGUGCCUAAUACAUGCAAGUCGAACGGAAGCAGUAGCAAUAUUGCUUUAGUGGCGAACGGGUGAGUAACGCGUUGGUGAUCUGCCCCGAAGUGAGGAAUAACAAUUCGAAAGAAUUGCUAAUACCACAUGUGAUCUUUGAGAUUAGAACCUCUUUGAUCAAAGGAUUUAUUCGCUUCGGGAGGAGCCUGCGUCCCAUCAGCUAGUUGGUAGGGUAAUGGCCUACCAAGGCGAUGACGGGUAGGGGACCUGAGAGGGUGGCCCCCCACAAUGGAACUGAAACACGGUCCAUACACCUACGGGUGGCAGCAGUAGGGAAUAUUAGUAAUGGGCGAAAGCCUGAACUAGCAACACCGCGUGUGCGAAGAAGGCCUUCGGGUCGUAAAGCACUUUUCGGGAGGAUGAGGAAGGACGGUACUCCCGGAAUAAGUCUCGGCUAACUACGUG